UUGGGGAGGUGGUGGCAUUUUGGGGACAGGGUGGCCACGUUGGGGUGGCACUGGGUGGGUGGGUGGGGGCUUGGAUGGGGGUCGUGGUGGGUGUUGAGGGCACCAGGAGGGGACAUUGGGGGUUUUGGGGGGGGUUUGGGGGCAUUGGUGGCACUUGGGGACUUGGUGGUACCUGGGGACAUUGGUGGCUUUGGGGACAUUGGUGGCUUUGGGGAGGGGGUGGCUUUGGGGACAUAGGGGCACGAAGGUGACAGAAGGACGUGGCUGGGGGUGAGGACAUCCUGGGGGGAAUGAGGUGGCUGUGGGAGGACCAUGGGGGGGGCACUGUGGGGACACGUGGUGACUCUUGGUGGCAUUUGGUGACACUUGGUGACGUUUGGUGACACUUGGUGACUCUUGUCACCCCGCAGCACGAGCUCUACAUUCGCGCCUUCCAGAAGCUCAUCGAUUUCCCACCAGUGAGUGUCACAUUUGUGUCACCUCGUGUCACCCCUGGGUCCUCGUGUCACCCUGUCCUUGUGUCACCCCUGGGUCCUCGUGUCACCCUGUCCUUGUGUCACCCCUGGGUCCUGGUGUCACCCCUGGGUCCUCAUGUCACCCUGUCCCCACGUCACCCCAUCCCCAUGUCCCCUGCUUGUCUGUGUCACCCUGUCCCCGUGUCCCCUGCCUGUUUGUGUCACUCCCUCCCCACGUCACCCCAUCCCCAUGUCCCCAUGUCCCCACGUCCCCUGCCUGUGUGUCACCCCAUCCCCAUGUCCCCAUGUCACACCAUCCCCACAUCACCCCAUCCC
rnacentral:lncRNA from 1 species